AGGACGAACGCUGGCGGCGUGCUUAACACAUGCAAGUCGAGCGGAAAGGCCCUUCGGGGUACUCGAGCGGCGAACGGGUGAGUAACACGUGAGCAACCUGCCCUUAGCUUCGGGAUAGCUCCGGGAAACCGGAAUUAAUACCGAAUAUGACUUUGGCUGACAUCAGCAGAAGUGGAAAGUUUUUCGGCUAGGGAUGGACUCGCGGCCUAUCAGCUAGUUGGUGAGGUAACGGCCCACCAAGGCGACGACGGGUAGCCGGCCUGAGAGGGCGACCGGCCACGACUGGGACUGAGACACGGCCCAGACUCCUACGGGAGGCAGCAGUGGGGAAUAUUGCGCAAUGGGCGAAAGCCUGACGCAGCGACGCCGCGUGGGGGAUGAAUGCCUUCGGUUGUAAACCCCUUUCAGCAGGGACGAAGCGAAAGUGACGGUACCUGCAGAAGAAGCGCCGGCUAACUACGUGCCAGCAGCCGC
rnacentral:rRNA from 1 species